UACGUAGGGUGCAAGCGUUGUCCGGAAUUAUUGGGCGUAAAGAGCUCGUAGGCGGUUUUGUUGCGUCGGCUGUGAAAUCCCGAGGCUCAACCUCGGGUCUGCAGUCGAUACGAGCAAACUAGAGUGUUGCAGGGGAGACUGGAAUUCCUGGUGUAGCGUGAAAUGCGCAGAUAUCAGGAGGAACACCGGUGGCGAAGGCGGCU
rnacentral:rRNA from 1 species